GUCUGAGUAGCUCAGACGGUUAGAGCAUAGAGUUGAAAACUCUUGUGUCGUAGGUUCAAAUCCUACCUUGGACA
rnacentral:tRNA from 1 species